UACAGAGGGUGCGAGCGUUGUCCGGAAUCACUGGGCGUAAAGGGCGCGUAGGUGGCGACCCAAGUCUGUGGUGAAAGCUCGAUGCUUAACAUCGAGUCGGCCGCGGAAACUGGGUGCUCGAGCAGCUGUAGGGGCAGAUGGAAUUCCGGGUGUAGCGGUGGAAUGCGUAGAGAUCCGGAAGAACGACCGGUGGCGAAGGCGGUCUGCUGGGGCGAUGU
rnacentral:rRNA from 1 species